rnacentral:lncRNA from 1 species
AACCACCCAAACAAGACAGCCAUUCUCACUCCCCUCAGACCACCGCUCGGAGAGGCUGCUGUCCGACGGGUGCUCCAUGCUAAAUAACCCCUAUUCUUAGUUCACCGUGACUUGGUGGCCUGAGCCAGGUGAAAAGACAAUCGAUCCAAAGAGACUACUGGUGCUCAAAGCUUCACUAACGAGGCGACUUUUUGGCAAAUCGGGCAUCUUCAACCGGGAGAACUUGGCUGAGUACAAAAGGGCUUUUGAAGCGGUCUCCUGGAUUGCAGGUGGAUUCUUUACCAACUGAGCUAUGAGGUAAGCCCUAUCUCAUUUACACAACAAACCUAAAAUAUAAUUCUUAUUUUCUCUCUUUUAAAGAUGAUAAACUAAGGCCUGGUGAAACUAAGCAAC